CACGUAGGCACCAAGCGUUGUCCGGAUUUAUUGGGCGUAAAGAGCUCGUAGGCGGUUCAGUAAGUCAGAUGUGAAAACUUUGGGCUUAACCCAAAGCGUGCAUUUGAUACUGCUGUGACUUGAGUACGGUAGGGGAGUGGGGAAUUUCUAGUGUAGCGGUGAAAUGCGCAGAUAUUAGAAGGAACACCGGUGGCGAAGGCGCCACUCUGGGCCGUAACUGACGCUGAGGAGCGAAAGCGUGGGUAGCAAACAGG
rnacentral:rRNA from 1 species